rnacentral:rRNA from 1 species
GAUGAACGCUGGCGGCGUGCCUAACACAUGCAAGUCGAGCGGCAGCGCGGGGUGCUUGCACCCUGUCGGCGAGCGGCGGACGGCUGAGUAACGCGUGGGAACGUGCCCCAAAGUGAGGAAUAACUGCCCGAAAGGGUAGCUAAUACCGCAUAUUAUCUUCGGAUCAAAGGAUUUAUCCGCUUUGGGAGCGGCUCGCGUCGGAUUAGGUAGUUGGUGAGGUAAUGGCUCACCAAGCCGACGAUCCGUAGCUGGUCUGAGAGGAUGACCAGCCAGACUGGAACUGAGACACGGUCCAGACUCCUACGGGAGGCAGCAGUGAGGAAUCUUACACAAUGGGCGAAAGCCUGAUGGAGCAACGCCGCGUGCAGGACGAAGGCCUUCGGGUUGUAAACUGCUUUUAUAAGUGAGGAAUAUGACGGUAACUGAUGAAUAAGGAUCGGCUAACUACGUG